rnacentral:rRNA from 1 species
UACGGAGGGUGCAAGCGUUAAUCGGAAUUACUGGGCGUAAAGCGUGCGUAGGUGGUUCGUUAAGUCAGAUGUGAAAGCCCCGGGCUCAACCUGGGAACUGCAUUUGAAACUGGUGGACUUGAGUUGAGUAGAGGGGAGUGGAAUUUCAGGUGUAGCGGUGAAAUGCGUAGAUAUCUGAAGGAACACCAGUGGCGAAGGCGACUCCCUGGACUCAAACUGACGCUGAGGUACGAAAGCGUGGGUAGCAAACAGG